rnacentral:rRNA from 1 species
AGCGAACGCUGGCGGCAGGCCUAACACAUGCAAGUCGAACGAACUCUUCGGAGUUAGUGGCGGACGGGUUAGUAACACGUGGGAACGUGCCUUUUUGUUCGGAAUAACUCAGGGAAACUUGUGCUAAUACCGAAUGUGCCCUUCGGGGGAAAGAUUUAUCGCCAUUUUAGCGGCCCGCGUCUGAUUAGCUAGUUGGUGAGGUAACGGCUCACCAAGGCGACGAUCAGUAGCUGGUCUGAGAGGAUGACCAGCCACACUGGGACUGAGACACGGCCCAGACUACUACGGGAGGGAGCAGUGGGGAAUCUAGCGAAAUGGGCGAAAGCAUGACGAAGCCAUGCCGCGUGAAUGAUGAAGGUCUUAGGAUAGUAAAAUUCUUUAAAAGGGGAAGAUAAUGACGGUACCAGGAGAAGAAGCACCGGCUAACUUCGUG